AAAGCAAACUUGAGAAAAACGAAGUAUGCAACCAUGGUUUAAAUCCACUAUAGGCUGAGUUGAGUACUAGUUUACCUUAGAUGUGCACUUUAUAAUGUUAUAUUGCUCUGUUUUGGUUCCAUAAAAAGAGCUGUUAAAGCAGCUGUUGUGUGACAAAAUAUUUUUUUACUGUGGUUGAUGGACAGUAAUAAGUAUGGUGUGAGAGAUUUUGUGUGAAUAACUGCUCCAAGUGAAAAAUGUUCAUGUAAAAUUGAAAAUCGAAAUUGUUAUUUCAGUAAAUAAUUGCAUUUUGCACUUAGAAAACUGAUUCAUGAUUCCAUGUUGAUGAGAGCAUUAAAAUGGGGAAAAGUAGGACAAAAAUAUAAAAGGAAAUUCAGAAACGAUAAAAAAUGUGUGAAGAAUCACAAUUAAUUUUUAGUGAAUUUGAGUUAAUUAUGACAGUUGCAUUUUUAAUUAGAUUAAAUAUUUUAAUCGCUUGACAGCUCUAGU